rnacentral:rRNA from 1 species
AAGAAAGUAAGUAAGGGCGCAUGGCGGAUGCCUUGGCUCUCAGAGGCGAUGAAGGACGUGAUAAGCUGCGAUAAGCUUCGGGUAGGUGCAAAUAACCUUUUAUCCGGAGAUUUCCGAAUGGGGCAACCCAGUGUUAUGAAGUAACAUUAUUCCUGCUUGCAGGAAAGCUAACCCAGUGAACUGAAACAUCUAAGUAACUGGAGGAAUAGAAAACAAUAGUGAUUCCCUUAGUAGCGGCGGGCGAAAGGGGAAUAGCCCAAAUCUCAGCGGUUUCGGCCGUUGAGAGGUUGUAGGACUGCAUUG